rnacentral:rRNA from 1 species
UACAGAGGUGGCAAGCGUUGUUCGGAAUUACUGGGCGUAAAGGGCGCGUAGGCGGCCUUCUCAGUCAGACGUGAAAUCCCCCGGCUUAACCUGGGAACUGCGUCUGAUACUGGAAGGCUGGAGUUCGGGAGAGGGAUGUGGAAUUCCAGGUGUAGCGGUGAAAUGCGUAGAUAUCUGGAGGAACACCGGUGGCGAAGGCGGCAUCCUGGACCAACACUGACACUGAGGAGCGAAAGCCAGGGGAGCAAACGGG